UACGUAGGAGACGAGCGUUGUCCGGAGUUACUGGGCGUAAAGGGUGCGCAGGCGGCCCUGCGCGUCGCGAGUGAAAUCUCCCGGCUCAACUGGGAGGGUGGUCGCGAAGACGGCAGGGCUUGAGGCUCGGUGAGGGGCGUGGAAUUCCGGGUGGAGCGGUGAAAUGCGUAGAGAUCCGGAGGAACACCAACGGCGUAGGCAGCGCCCUAGACGAGACCUGACGCUCAGGCACGAAAGCGCGGGGAGCGAACAGG
rnacentral:rRNA from 1 species